UACGGCCACAUCACGUUGAAACACCGUGCGAUCACCGAAGUUAAGCAACGUCGAGUCUGGUCAGUACCUAGAUGGGUGACUGUUUGAAAAUACCAUGUGCUGUAAGC